AAGUCGUAACAAGGUUUCCGUAGGUGAACCUGCGGAAGGAUCAUUAAAGAAAUUUAAUAAUUUUGAAAAUGGAUUUUUUUUGUUUUGGCAAGAGCAUGAGAGCUUUUACUGGGCAAGAAGACAAGAGAUGGAGAGUCCAGCCGGGCCUGCGCUUAAGUGCGCGGUCUUGCUAGGCUUGUAAGUUUCUUUCUUGCUAUUCCAAACGGUGAGAGAUUUCUGUGCUUUUGUUAUAGGACAAUUAAAACCGUUUCAAUACAACACACUGUGGAGUUUUCAUAUCUUUGCAACUUUUUCUUUGGGCAUUCGAGCAAUCGGGGCCCAGAGGUAACAAACACAAACAAUUUUAUUUAUUCAUUAAAUUUUUGUCAAAAACAAGAAUUUUCGUAACUGGAAAUUUUAAAAUAUUAAAAACUUUCAACAACGGAUCUCUUGGUUCUC
rnacentral:misc_RNA from 1 species